GUGAGUAACAUGUGGGUAUCUACCCUUUGGCCUGGAAUAACACGAGGAAACUUGUGCUAAUACCGGAUAAGUCUUUACGGAGAAAGCUUUAUGCACCAUUGGAUGAGCCCGCACUUGAUUAGCUAGUUGGUAAGGUAAAAGCUUACCAAGGCAAUGAUCAAUAGCUGUUCUUAGAGGAAGACCAGCCACAUUGGGACUGAGACACGGCCCAGACUCCUACGGGAGGCAGCAGUGGGGAAUCUUGCACAAUGGGGGAAACCCUGAUGCAGCGAUGCCGCGUGAGUGAAGAAGGCCUUUGGGUUGUAAAACUCUUUCGUCGGGGAAGAAAAUGACUGUACCCGAAUAAGAAGGUCCGGCUAACUUCGUGCCAGCAGCCGCGGUAAUACGAAGGGACCUAGCGUAGUUCGGAAUUACUGGGCUUAAAGAGCUCGUAGGUGGUUAAAAAAGUUGAUGGUGAAAUCCCAAGGCUUAACCUUGGAACUGCCAUCAAAACUUUUUAGCUAGAGUGUGACAGAGGUAAGUGGAAUUUCUAGUGUAGAGGUGAAAUUCGUAGAUAUUAGAAAGAACACCAAAUGCGAAGGCAACUUACUGGGUCACUACUGACACUGAGGAGCGAAAGCAUGGGUAGCGAAGAGGAUUAGAUACCCUCGUAGUCCAUGCCGUAAACGAUGUGUGCUAGACGUUGGAAAUAUAUUC
rnacentral:rRNA from 1 species